AGAGUUUGAUCCUGGCUCAGGAUGAACGCUGGCGGUAUGCCUAACACAUGCAAGUCGUACGAGAGUUUUUAACUCUAGUGGCGGACGGGUGAGUAACACGUGAGAAUUUGCCUUUAGGAGGGGGAUAACAAUUGGAAACGAAUGCUAAUACCCCAUAUGCUUUCGAGUGAAAUGAAUUUUUUAUUUGCCUAAAGAGAAGCUCGCGGCUGAUUAGCUUGUUGGUAAGGUAAGAGCUUACCAAGGCGACGAUCAGUAUCUGGUUUGAGAGGACGAUCAGACACACUGGAACUGAGACACGGUCCAGACUCCUACGGGAGGCAGCAGUGGGGAAUUUUCCGCAAUGGGCGAAAGCCUGACGGAGCAAUACCGCGUGAGGGAAGAAUGCCUAUGGGUUGUAAACCUCUUUUUUCAGGGAGGAAUAAAUGACGUGUACCUGAAGAAUAAGCAUCGGCUAACUCCGUGCCAGCAGCCGCGGUAAGACGGAGGAUGCAAGUGUUAUCCGGAAUCACUGGGCGUAAAGCGUCUGUAGGUGGUUUAAUAAGUCAACUGUUAAAUCUUGAGGCUCAACUUCGAAAUCGCAGCUGAAACUAUUAGACUAGAGUAUAGUAGAGGUAAAGGGAAUUUCCAGUGUAGCGGUGAAAUGCGUAGA
rnacentral:rRNA from 1 species